rnacentral:rRNA from 1 species
GAUGAACGCUAGCGGCAGGCUUAACACAUGCAAGUCGAGGGGUAUUGGUUUUCGGACCAAGAGACCGGCGCACGGGUGCGUAACGCGUAUGCAAUCUACCUUUUGCAGAGGGAUAGCCCCAGAGAAAUUUGGAUUAAUACCUCAUAGUAUAGUACUUUGGCAUCAAGGAACUAUUAAAGUCACAACGGCAAAGAUGAGCAUGCGUCCAUUAGCUAGUUGGUAAGGUAACGGCUUACCAAGGCUACGAUGGGUAGGGGUCCUGAGAGGGAGAUCCCCCACACUGGUACUGAGACACGGACCAGACUCCUACGGGAGGCAGCAGUGAGGAAUAUUGGACAAUGGGCGCAAGCCUGAUCCAGCCAUGCCGCGUGCAGGAUGACGGUCCUAUGGAUUGUAAACUGCUUUUAUACAGGAAGAAACACCUCUACGUGUAGAGACUUGACGGUACUGUAUGAAUAAGGACCGGCUAACUCCGUG